UACAGAGACUGCAAGCGUUAAUCGGAAUUACUGGGCGUAAAGCGUGCGCAGGCGGUUAUAUAAGACAGAUGUGAAAUCCCCGGGCUCAACCUGGGAACUGCAUUUGUGACUGUAUAGCUAGAGUACGGUAGAGGGAGAUGGAAUUCCGCGUGUAGCAGUGAAAUGCGUAGAUAUGCGGAGGAACACCGAUGGCGAAGGCAAUCCCCUGGACCUGUACUGACGCUCAUGCACGAAAGCGUGGGGAGCAAACAGG
rnacentral:rRNA from 1 species